GUCUCAGGAUGUUUGACACAGCUGGCUAGACACGUGAGCUGGGGACGGGGUAACUGAAGAGGAUGGGGAGGGGAGAAAUGACAAUCAAAGUGGAGGUGACCCAAAGCGCAGCCAAAGAGAUGAUGUCACCAAGAAAGAGCAUAUCAAUAUUGAAGAGGAGUGGACCAAGGACAGAGCCCUGAGGAAUACCACACGAGACAGUCCGGGGGCUAAAGAAGCCGCUUAUGAAAAUGGAGUGGAGACGGUGUGAGAGGAGGCAACAGCAUAUGGGUGCAAAGGGCAAAAGCAGAGAAGAGUUAAAGAUGGAAAAGAUUUCACAGUUUCAGAAGGAGUUUGCUGAGCAGAGGAAACUGAAUGAG